rnacentral:rRNA from 1 species
UGGGGAAUAUUGCACAAUGGGCGCAAGCCUGAUGCAGCCAUGCCGCGUGUAUGAAGAAGGCCUUCGGGUUGUAAAGUACUUUCAGUCGGGAGGAAGGUGGUAAGGUUAAUAACCUUAUCAAUUGACGUUACCGACAGAAGAAGCACCGGCUAACUCCGUGCCAGCAGCCGCGGUAAUACGGAGGGUGCAAGCGUUAAUCGGAAUUACUGGGCGUAAAGCGCACGCAGGCGGUUGAUUGAGUCAGAUGUGAAAUCCCCGGGCUUAACCCGGGAAUUGCAUCUGAUACUGGUCAGCUAGAGUCUUGUAGAGGGGGGUAGAAUUCCAUGUGUAGCGGUGAAAUGCGUAGAGAUGUGGAGGAAUACCGGUGGCGAAGGCGGCCCCCUGGACAAAGACUGACGCUCAGGUGCGAAAGCGUGGGGAGCAAAUAGG